UAUAUGUGUGUAUACCUACUACA
rnacentral:siRNA from 1 species